rnacentral:rRNA from 1 species
UAGGGAAUCUUCCACAAUGGACGCAAGUCUGAUGGAGCAACGCCGCGUGAGUGAAGAAGGUUUUCGGAUCGUAAAGCUCUGUUGUUGGUGAAGAAGGAUAGAGGCAGUAACUGGUCUUUAUUUGACGGUAAUCAACCAGAAAGUCACGGCUAACUACGUGCCAGCAGCCGCGGUAAUACGUAGGUGGCAAGCGUUGUCCGGAUUUAUUGGGCGUAAAGCGAGCGCAGGCGGAAUGAUAAGUCUGAUGUGAAAGCUCACGGCUCAACCGUGGAACUGCAUCGGAAACUGUCAUUCUUGAGUGCAGAAGAGGAGAGUGGAAUUCCAUGUGUAGCGGUGGAAUGCGUAGAUAUAUGGAAGAACACCAGUGGCGAAGGCGGCUCUCUGGUCUGCAACUGACGCUGAGGCUCGAAAGCAUGGGUAGCGAACAGG